UGAGCUCCGCCCCCUGCCAGAGCAUUACUGUGUGAGCUCCGCCCGCUGUCAUCAUUACUGUGUGAGCUCCGCCCCCUGUCAUUACUGUGUGAGCUCCGCCCCCUGUCAUAUCAUUACUGUGUGAGCUCCGCCCCCUGUCAUAUCAUUAUUGUGAGCUCCGCCCCUGUCAUAUCAUUGCUGUGUGAGCUCCGCCUCCUGUCAGAUCAGUGGUGGCAUUAGAUUCUCAUAGGAGUGGAAUCCUGUUGUGAACUGCGCAUGAGAAGGAUCUAGGUUAUGCCCCGCUUAUGAGAAUCUAAUACUGAUGAUCUGAGAUGGAACCGUUUCAUCUCCAAACCAUCCCCACACUUGUCAGUGGAAAAAGUGUCUUCCGUGAAACCAGUCCCUGGUGCCAAAAAGGUUAGGGACUGCCGGUUUAAAUAACCAAAUGCUAAAAGAACUGGCAUAGAAGUAAAUGGGCUGCUGCUUUAUUUUUAGGCUGUUCUUUUUAGAGAGCAAUGACAGUUAUUUCCAAGUUUGUCAUUAGAAAA
rnacentral:lncRNA from 10 species